GGAGAGAUGGCCGAGUGGUUGAUAGCUCCGGUCUUGAAAACCAGUAUAGUUCGAAACAAAGAACAAUCGAGGGUUCAAAUCCCUCUCUCUCCU
rnacentral:tRNA from 1 species